AAUUGAUUGAUUUGAUUAUAAACUCAGCGAAAAUAAGUAAACGGGGCAAUUUAAUACGAAUUGUACCGAAAUCAGAAAGUCUCUCGAACAUGAUCUCUCACACAAAUUGAAUAUUAUUGCUCCGUUUACUUAUUUUCGGUGAGUUAAUAAUCAAAUCAAUCAAUUUAGACGAGUCUGGCUUCAUUGCAUAUUGUUUUACUGGAAAACCGGAAUAUUCGGUUUGGUCUAAACCGAACCGAAGUUUAUGGUUCGGUUCAAACCGAACCGAAAAUUCCGGUUUUUGGGAUAACCGGCUCAUCUCUGUCCUCCUGAGAUUUUGUAGAUUAGGUU